rnacentral:rRNA from 1 species
CCUACGGGAGGCAGCAGUGGGGGAUAUUGCACAAUGGGGGGAACCCUGAUGCAGCGACGCCGCGUGGGUGAAGAAGCGCCUCGGCGCGUAAAGCCCUGUCAGCAGGGAAGAAAAUGACGGUACCUGAAGAAGAAGCCCAGGAUAACUACGUGCCAGCAGCCGCGGUAAUACGUAGGGGGCAAGCGUUAUCCGGAUUUACUGGGUGGAAAGGGGGCGCAGACGGCGAUGCAAGCCAGGAGUGAAAGUCCAUGGCUUAACCAUGGUACUGCUCUGGAAACUGUGGAGCUUGAGUGCGGGAGGGGCAGGCGGAAUUCCUAGUGUAGCGGUGAAAUGCGUAGAUAUUAGGAGGAACACCGGCGGCGAAGGCGGCCUGCUGGACCGUAACUGACGUUGAGGCUCGAAAGCGUGGGGAGCAAACAGGAUUAGAUACCCCUGUAGUC